UGGGGAAUAUUGGACAAUGGGCGAAAGCCUGAUCCAGCCAUGCCGCGUGUGUGAAGAAGGUCUUCGGAUUGUAAAGCACUUUAAGUUGGGAGGAAGGGCUGCUGGUUAAUACCCUGCAGUUUUGACGUUACCAACAGAAUAAGCACCGGCUAACUUCGUGCCAGCAGCCGCGGUAAUACGAAGGGUGCAAGCGUUAAUCGGAAUUACUGGGCGUAAAGCGCGCGUAGGUGGUUCGUUAAGUUGGAUGUGAAAGCCCCGGGCUCAACCUGGGAACUGCAUCCAAAACUGGCGAGCUAGAGUACGGUAGAGGGUGGUGGAAUUUCCUGUGUAGCGGUGAAAUGCGUAGAUAUAGGAAGGAACACCAGUGGCGAAGGCGACCACCUGGACUGAUACUGACACUGAGGUGCGAAAGCGUGGGGAGCAAACAGGAUUAGAUACCCGAGUAGUCCCUGAGCGGGCUGGCAAGGCGCAU
rnacentral:rRNA from 1 species